AUGUGGAAGACUGUCAGAGUGCUACUUUCAGAUAGGUCUACCGAUAACAGCAUCCUAGGCAAAUCUGCCUCAACCCUGUCCUCUGAGAUCAUCAGCAAGAAGUGUGUUUACCAGGAUUCCAGUUCUGCAAAGGAGGCUCCUCAAAAGAAGGAAGCAUCCACCCACCUGAGAGACUCUGUGUCAGAGAGAACCCAGAGCUUGGACGGCAGCAUACUCGCUUCUCUCCAUGUCACCUUGUGCUCUAAGGUUUGGGAGCCAUUGUGAGGAUGACAUCCUGUUGCACCUUCCAGAGGUAAGAUCAAACUUUUUGUCUUCUGAGGCUGGUCCAUAGUUGUAGUUUUUUGUCUUGUUAUAUUGAACUUUUAAAUAAUAAUCCCUGCUUUUGUUCAAGACUAAUGUCAUACACUAGCAUGAUACACAUGUUAGCCCCACUUAUAACAAUUCAUUCUCUGAGAACUUCCCAGUCUAUAGGAAGGCACCCAGUAGACUUUUUUAUAUGAUACAACCAAAUCCCCUGGCUUCUGUUUAGUGGAAUGAGAAUGUUCCAAGAAGAGCAAGUCGGAAGCCCAGCCCCCUAGAAAUAUGAAAUCAGGAGCUAGAGUGAAAGUUAGUCUUUCAGUGUGGCUAGACCUUGUUGACUUGGAAAUGGCUGGCUGACAUCUUCCACUGGACAGAGACACAGGAAGGGCUUUUCCCCCAAGAAAGAAGACAACAGAGGCACAGAAAGAAGCAAGAGACCAGCAAGAGUACUCUCCGGAUCUCCAACAGGCUUCCAGCACCUAUUAUGACCUUCCCAAGGCCCUCAUUGCUUUCUAGCCCUCGGGUCCCAUGAGCCACCCUUCCUCCUUCUAAUUAUUUUUGUUAUUUAAAAGCUACCUCAAGAUGUCACUUGCAGCAAGUGAUCUACCAAUGUGCCUACUUCCACCUGAUAAUGAAUGACAUAUUCUCCAGGCAAGAGAGGUUCCGUGUCCCUCCCCACCAUGGU
rnacentral:lncRNA from 12 species